GUCUACGGCCGUGCCACCAUGAACAAACCCGAUCCCAUCUGAUCUCAGAAGCUAAGCAGGGUUGGGCCUGGUUAGUACUUGGAUGGAAGACCACCUAGGAAGAUCAGGUGCUGUAGGCA
rnacentral:rRNA from 1 species